GCCAGACUCCUACGGGAGGCAGCAGUGGGGAAUAUUGCUCAAUGGGGGAAACCCUGAUGCAGCGACGCCGCGUGAGCGAUGAAGUAUUUCGGUAUGUAAAGCUCUAUCAGCAGGGAAGAAGAUGACGGUACCUGACUAAGAAGCCCCGGCUAACUACGUGCCAGCAGCCGCGGUAAUACGUAGGGGGCAAGCGUUAUCCGGAUUUACUGGGUGUAAAGGGGGCGCAGACGGCGAUGCAAGCCAGGAGUGAAAGCCCGGGGCCCAACCCCGGGACUGCUCUUGGAACUGCGUGGCUGGAGUGCAGGAGGGGCAGGCGGAAUUCCUGGUGUAGCGGUGAAAUACGUAGAUAUCAGGAGGAACACCGGUGGCGAAGGCGGCCUGCUGGACUGCAACUGACGUUGAGGCCCGAAAGCGUGGGGAGCAAACAGGAUUAGAUACCCUUGUAACA
rnacentral:rRNA from 1 species